rnacentral:rRNA from 1 species
UGUGUAGGCGGUGGGAAAAGUUUGAUGUGAAAUCUCCGGGCUCAACCCGGAAAAUGCAUUGAAUACUAUUCCACUAGAGGAUCGGAGGGGAGACUGGAAUUCUCGGUGUAGCAGUGAAAUGCGUAGAUAUCGAGAGGAACAUCAGUGGCGAAGGCGAGUCUCUGGACGAUUCCUGACGCUGAGGCACGAAAGCUAGGGGAGCGAACAGGAUUAGAUACCCUGGUAGUCC